UGGCGUGAGGCGUGCCUUAAAUUGUGGAAGAAUGGAGAUGACCUGCGGGUUGACUUACAGGUCAACAAAAGGCCGCUGGAUCACAAAACUCAGCCGACCUUGUUCGCAUGGACCCAUGGGAUUAUUUGUACCACCAAGUCCUCCUUUGGACCCUAGGAAGGUCAAAGAGUUACAACGCUUCAUCACUCUGUCCAAGAAACUUCUAGUGAUGACCGGGGCAGGAAUCUCCACUGAGUCAGGAAUCCCAGACUACAGGUCAGAAAAGGUGGGACUGUAUGCUCGGACUGACCGGCGACCGAUCCAGCAUGUAGAUUUUGUACGAAGUGCUCCCAUCCGCCAGCGGUACUGGGCAAGAAACUUUGUGGGCUGGCCUCAGUUCUCAGCCCACCAGCCGAACCCUGCACACUGGGCUUUGAGCAACUGGGAGAAACAGGGAAAGCUGCACUGGUUGGUGACUCAAAAUGUGGACGCUUUGCACACCAAAGCCGGGAAUCAGCGCUUGACGGAACUGCAUGGGUGCAUGCACAGGGUCCUCUGCCUGAAUUGUGGUGAGCAGACUCCUCGGGAGGUGCUGCAGGAGCGCUUCCAAGACCUGAACCCUAGCUGGAGCGCUGAGGCCCAAGGCGUGGCUCCUGAUGGAGAUGUGUUUCUCACGGAGGAGCAGGUCCAGACUUUUCAGGUCCCACCCUGCGUGCGGUGUGGAGGCCCUCUGAAACCAGAUGUUGUUUUCUUCGGUGACACGGUGAACCCUGAUAAGGUUGAUUUUGUGCACAGGCGUGUGAGGGAAGCCGAUUCCUUGCUGGUGGUAGGAUCUUCUCUACAGGUGUACUCUGGUUACAGGUUUAUUCUCACUGCCCAGGAGAAGAAGCUACCAAUAGCCAUAUUGAAUAUUGGGCCCACACGAUCGGAUGAUUUGGCAUGUCUGAAACUGAAUUCUCGCUGUGGAGAGUUGUUGCCUUUAAUAGUUCCACACUGACUACAGCCUGAUCUUCCGGAGCCUACAACUGGAACUUUCCCUUGAAUCCAGCUGCUGAAGAUAAAGGUCUUCUCAGAUAGCUAACGUAUUGAUUUCCACCAGAUUGGGAGUAAUCACUCAGGAUUCAGCCCCCUUCCCUCAACUAAACCAAGCUCACUGCAAGCUGUAGAGGGAAGCAAGCUACCAUCUCUCCACCAGCCUAUCUUUGAACAGAUGAGAUUCAACCCCUGAAGAGAGUCUUUCAAAGAAGCUACUGUUCUUGAUGGGAAAACUGCAUUCAUUACCUUCUUAUGUCACCUGGCAGAAGAAACAGCCUGGGAAAUGUGUGGAUUGGCAUGGUUUUUGCAGUGCUAAGAGAUUUCCCUAAUUUGGGAAGUAGAGCUAGAAGGAAAUAACUUGACUUAUAAU